AGUGAUUUCAUUUAUUUUUAGAUGUGUGUCACAGGUUACCUUAGUUGGGAGUCCGGUAGGCAGAGAUUUAUGCUCACCCCUUGCAAUUAAACACAGGCCAAGGUGGUCGGGUAAGAAUUCACCUGGCCUGUGAGUCUGUGCACGGGGGCUGUGCAGGAUGUUGCUCCAAGUCGCAGUACAGGUAAGGACACAAGCAGGAGAAUCGUCAAGAGUAAGCCAAAG